UACGUAGGGUGCAAGCGUUGUCCGGAAUUAUUGGGCGUAAAGAGCUCGUAGGCGGCCUGUUGCGUCGGCUGUGAAAACCCGGGGCUCAACCCCGGGCCUGCAGUCGAUACGGGCAGGCUAGAGUCCGGCAGGGGAGACUGGAAUUCCUGGUGUAGCGGUGAAAUGCGCAGAUAUCAGGAGGAACACCGGUGGCGAAGGCGGGUCUCUGGGCCGAUACUGACGCUGAGGAGCGAAAGCGUGGGGAGCGAACAGG
rnacentral:rRNA from 1 species